UCUCACGAGAUCUGAUGGUUUUAUACGUGGCAGUUGCUCCCGCUCUCUUCUCUUUCACCCGCUGCCAUGUAAGAUGAGCCUGCUUCCCCUUCUGCCAUGAUUGUAAGUUUCCUGAGGCCUCCCAAGUCAUGCAGAACUGAUUCUUCAUUUCUUGUCAUAGAAGCAUGGGAUCUCUGGUUACAAUGAAAAUAUCAACAAAAGCCUAGUCAAGACUUUGGGGCACAUAAUUAUUUCCACAUUUGAGUGGCACAGACAAGAAGGAAGUAGGCAGGGUCCUGCCUCAAGAUGUAGCCACCGAGUCUCAGGAAAAGAAAAAUGACCUUGAGACUUGAGACGGCAUAACCUGGUGAAAAAGAGAGAAGAAAUUGAAAAUUAUGCCAGUGGGUUUGGAGUUUCUCCUGUAAGUGAUUGGGAGCCAUUGAAGGAUUAAUUACAAGUAGUUGAAUAAAUCAAAAUAGUUUUUGAGAAGGAAGUUUCCCUGGAAGAAUGAUGCAUGAAUGUAAGUGAAUGAAAACAACAUUUACAGGAAAUCUUAGAGUGGGAGGACAUAAUUUUCUCCUUCCAAUGUCUCUUUCUGGCUGACUAAGAUAAAAUGGAUAAAUGGGCUGGAGACUGAAAACCUGGAAUAGAAACGUUUUUUGACAGCUUGCAUGCAACAACUAACUCGACUAGAG